rnacentral:vault_RNA from 10 species
GGGUCGGCUUUAGCUCAAGCGGUUACUUCGCAUGUGGUUACUAAACCUUCCAACCCUCUCGUUAGGGUUCGAGACCCGCGGGUGCUUUCUGACCCUUUU